rnacentral:rRNA from 1 species
GAGUUUGAUCAUGGCUCAGGAUGAACGCUGGCGGCGUGCCUAACACAUGCAAGUCGAACGGAGAGCAUAAACGGAAGUUUUCGGAUGGAAGUUUAUGUUCUUAGUGGCGGACGGGUGAGUAACGCGUGGGCAACCUGCCUCAUACAGGGGGAUAACAGACGGAAACGUCUGCUAAGACCGCAUAAGUCGUCUUUGUCGCAUGACAGAGACGGGAAAAGAGCAAUCUGGUAUGAGAUGGGCCCGCGUCCGAUUAGCUAGUUGGUAAGGUAAAAGCUUACCAAGGCGACGAUCGGUAGCCGGCCUGAGAGGUCGGACGGCCACAUUGGGACUGAGACACGGCCCAAACUCCUAUCGGGAGGCAGCACGUGGGGGAUAUUGCAUCAAUGGAGGAAAGCUCUGAUGCAAGCGACCGC